AGAGCGAACGCUGGCGGCAGGCUUAACACAUGCAAGUCGAGCGGGCGUAGCAAUACGUCAGCGGCAGACGGGUGAGUAACGCGUGGGAACGUACCUUUUGGUUCGGAACAACACAGGGAAACUUGUGCUAAUACCGGAUAAGCCCUUACGGGGAAAGAUUUAUCGCCGAAAGAUCGGCCCGCGUCUGAUUAGCUAGUUGGUGAGGUAAUGGCUCACCAAGGCGACGAUCAGUAGCUGGUCUGAGAGGAUGAUCAGCCACAUUGGGACUGAGACACGGCCCAAACUCCUACGGGAGGCAGCAGUGGGGAAUAUUGGACAAUGGGCGCAAGCCUGAUCCAGCCAUGCCGCGUGAGUGAUGAAGGCCCUAGGGUUGUAAAGCUCUUUUGUGCGGGAAGAUAAUGACGGUACCGCAAGAAUAAGCCCGGCUAACUUCGCGCCAGCAGCCGC
rnacentral:rRNA from 1 species